rnacentral:rRNA from 1 species
AUUGAACGCUGGCGGCAGGCUUAACACAUGCAAGUCGAGCGAGGGAAGGUAGCUUGCUACCGGACCUAGCGGCGGACGGGUGAGUAAUGCUUAGGAAUCUGCCUAUUAGUGGGGGACAACAUCUCGAAAGGGAUGCUAAUACCGCAUACGUCCUACGGGAGAAAGCAGGGGAUCUUCGGACCUUGCGCUAAUAGAUGAGCCUAAGUCGGAUUAGCUAGUUGGUGGGGUAAAGGCCUACCAAGGCGACGAUCUGUAGCGGGUCUGAGAGGAUGAUCCGCCACACGGGGACUGAGACACGUCCCAGACUCCUACGGGAGGCAGCAGUGGGGAAUAUUGGACAAUGGGGGGAACCCUGAUCCAGCCAUGCCGCGUGUGUGAAGAAGGCCUUAUGGUUGUAAAGCACUUUAAGCGAGGAGGAGGCUACUUUAGUUAAUACCUAGAGAUAGUGGACGUUACUCGCAGAAUAAGCACCGGCUAACUCUGUGCCAGCCGCCGCUGUAA